rnacentral:lncRNA from 1 species
GUGCGGCACACUCCUGGAUGUGUCUGGGUGGGUGUCAUCUCAGGGACUGUACCUGGUCCCAGCUCCUUCCUCUUGGGUGCUGUUCUCCUGCUCUGCUUGGAGGCCACCAUGGACUGAGCACCUUUGUUCUACACUUCCUUCCACCACGGUGCUCCUGCCUUGGAGCCAGCUGACCAUGCACUGACCCCCUUAAGACCAUGGGUCAAGUAACCCUCCCCUCCUUUAAGCUGUGGGUGUCGGGUGUUCACUCUCCGCUGUGGGAAAGCGGAAGGCAGGGCCAUUUCACAACCCUGUAUGGUAGGCCUUCCUUUUCUCCCACCUUACAGAAGCUUUAUCCUGGCCUUCGGUGUGCGUGGUGGACUCAUCACACAUCCCCGCCCACCAUCCCCAGGGAGUCGAGGUUCUGGGACGAGGGCUCGUGCCUGGAAAGAGGAGCCUGACAGCCUGGGCCCUCCACCCCCCAGCCCAUGGGCUUCAAACGGAAAAGGAGCUCUUGGGACGCCGGCCCCAUCUACCCAGGAGGGUCUCAUCCUGAUUUCUUCAACCUCACCACCCAGGAAGAGACAGGCUCCAAAUCAGGUCACUGCUUCAGGGUCCCAGCACAGGGCCCGGGGGUAGCUUUUCGAAGCCACCAUUUAGCCUGCCCAGAGUGGCUGGACAGCGAGAGGACCAACGGAGGCGCUGUUUAUAGAGGUGUGGUGGGUGGAGGCUGAGUCCCGAGCAGGGGUGGCCGUGGACAGAAGAGGGGCCGGCCUCACCUCACCCUGAGCAACUCCUUUUGGAAAGCAGCGCUUUGCCCUGAGCCGAGCCGUGGUGAGAACAAGCACCUACCGUGUCUGUGUGAGUAAACGGCCACCAUCUGUCCCGUCCGGAACCGCAAGGCACAAAGCGAUAAAUGAUUCAUGGUGCCAAUAAAAAACUAACUUACGGAAUUAAAUCAGGAGCACAUCAGAGAAACCAGACACGUGAGCUUGUCGUGCACACCGGAGGCAGCCCCGCCCCUCGGACGCCACUGACCCUGCCAUCUUGUCACGUACUCCCCACAAACUUGCCCAGGACAGUCUCCAGGUGACGCGCCCCCUCGGGCCCCGGGCCUUCAGCGCAGUGUGUGAGACACACACGCCCACUUUGGGUGACAUCUUUGAGACUGCCUGCCAUUCAGGCUGGGGCUUGGACGUCCCCCUCCGCCUGAAAGCCGUCCCUCCACAGCUACAGCUCUGCCCCCAGGUUGCCGUCUGUGACCUCCUUCUCUCUCCCUGUCAGAGAUUUCUCUGUGUGUGUGUGCAGCCUCUGUCUCAUUCUCGCUCAGCCCCUUUACACUGUGGCCACUCGGAACCCUCGCUUCGUCCUCUGUGACCCGCACGUGACCGUGUGAGUGUGUGGCGUGACAUCAGUGUUGUUGAUAUCAGUAAUUAAGAUCAGAAGGGAAUAAGAGGGCUCGUGAUGACCUGGAUCUGGACACCGGGUGAAAUCCAGAGCACUGGAAGCCGCCAGUUAUGGUCUGUGACUGUAUCGUUAUCCAAUAAACUGUGACACUGUGC